GCCAAUAGAAAUUUACUUAACCAUAAAAUUAAAAGAAGCCAAUCUCCAGCAAUGAGAGCACAGACAAAUAAGCACACAUGACAAGUACAUAAAAUUAAUAAAAUCAUUGAUCACAAUUGGUAAGACAGGUUCUACCCUAUGUAAAAAUUCCGCGUAAAUUUAGCACCUUGUUCCUAUCUUGAUCACUGAAAAUAUAUAAUAAUCCUGAAAAUGUCAGGAUUACAGGGGAAACAUUCAUAAGUAAAA